CUCUGUACGUCGCAACUCCUAUUACCGGACUCUGCUACAUCACCCGAUCACUGUCUUGCUUGUGCCUCUUCUCCCGACAUUGUUCGUGCAGGGAGAUCGACAAGGAUUUGGAUGCGAGUAUAAGUAGAACAUGGGUGGCUGCAGUAUGGUGGGAGAUUUUUGGAUAAACUUGAGGAUAGGGAUUCGGAUUCAGGACGAGCACUUCGACAUAGAGGUUGAUUAGCUCGAUCUACAUCGGAAG